AUACGGAGGAUGCGAGCGUUAUCCGGAUUUAUUGGGUUUAAAGGGUGCGUAGGCUGUGCGUUAAGUCAGGGGUGAAAUGCCGUCGCUCAACGACGGAGCUGCCCUUGAUACUGGCGUGCUGGAGUACGGAUGCCGUUGGAGGAAUGAGUGGUGUAGCGGUGAAAUGCUUAGAUAUCACUCAGAACACCGAUUGCGAAGGCAUCUGACGAAUCCGUCACUGACGCUGAGGCACGAAAGCGUGGGGAUAGAACAGGAUUAGAUACCCGGGUAUUCCACGCCGUAAACGAUGAUGACUAACCGUCGGCGAUAGACAGCCGGUGGCCAAGCGAAAGCGAUAAGUCAUCCACCUGGGGAGUACGUCGGCAACGAUGAAACUUAAAGGAAUUGACGGGG
rnacentral:rRNA from 1 species